UGAGCCAGACCAACAUGCAGUUGAAAAUAAUGAAGAAACAUUGACAGCUGUUACAGAGGAGGAAGCAACAGAGACACUUUAUGAGAGUGAUGAUGGAAAUGCAGAGGAAGAGGGUCCAGCCACUUCUCCAACAAACCUUUCCUCACUCCCUGUAAAGCAGCUGUACAAGAAAUAUUUGAUCAAGAAAAUAAAGAAAUGCGACUUGGAAAUGGAACACUUCAAGCAGCAGAUCCAAAAGACCAAGACUGAGAUCUUACUGCUGGAACAUCAGUUAAGGGUGGGUGAAGUGGUCAGAGAUGGGCGAAUUAUGUCAGUGUUUGAACAACAUAAUAAUAUACUUAUUAAUACUUUGUGUACAGGAAAUACAGGUGACCAAUAAAGCCAGUUGAACAGAAAAUCUGUUUAUUCUUCUUUCAACAUGUUGAGGUGAUGGGUCAAAGGAAAUGAUUGUGACAUAUGGUGUCUCUGACUGCUCUUCCAUCUUGUAUGUCCGUGGGAGGGUCAGGAUGUUCAUGGUUUGGAUCACUGCUGAUGUU